rnacentral:rRNA from 1 species
AUAACUCGAUAAUCCACGAAAACACAACCUUUUCUCGAUAUUCAGCAUGUGUACUGCCGUUGUAAGCACACCUCUAAAAGAAAAGUGUGCCACUAUGAUUAAACCAGCUCAUAUACAUCAGGUCAAAGUGCAGCCAAUAAGAAGGUGAUGAUGGGUUACAACCCUAAAACAGACUAUCAAUAAAGAAAUAAAAAAUCUUAAGAAAGUGGACUUGGUUGUAAUCAAAUUAUAAGCUAAAGAGAUGAAUAAACAUCUAAGACAUGUACACAUCGCCCGUCACUCUAUCCUAAAGGUUAGACAAGUCGUAACAAAGUAGGUGUAAUGGAAAUUGUACCUGUCGAAGUAUAGCAUAUAUAAAUGCUUUUUACUUACACUAAAAAUAAAGUUUAAUACUUUCUUCGCCCACACAGCACAACCUUACCAAUUUUAUAUAAUAAAAACAAUUAAACAACUAAAAAAAUAAAGUACAGAAAUGGAAAUUAUACUUAAUAACAGUAAAUAUUAACAACUAUACCUUGUGCAUUAUGGUUUUACAAGAAAAUAAUUAAAAAUAUAAAUCCCGAAUUCUAUAUGAGAUGUUAAACUGCUGUUAAGAACCCAUUAGUAACUGUAGAAAAAGGUUUAAAAGACAGUAUAACAGAGGCUACAUACCAUCCGCAUAAGAAAAUAGCUGGUUUUCAACAAACAUUAUUCAUUAAAACAUAUAAUUAUAUUAUAGUGUAAUAUUAUUGAGGACAAGCCCAAUAAUUUAAACAAUACAAAUACAUAUCUAUCACACACAAUAGGCCUAAAAUCAGCCAGCAGAAAUACUUUACCGUAAUAAAUACUGAUAUAAUUCAUAUAUUAAUAUGUUAAAAUAGAGUUGAAAUAGUAAAUAAAUCACACUAUUUACCAAUAAUAUGUAAAAAUAAGUAUUAUAAAUUUAUAAAUAUACUAAUCAAGAAUUAACUAUUAAUAAAAAAACUAUAAUUAAUUAAGGAACUCGGCAAACUACUAUUUCGACUGUUUAACAAAAACAUUGUCUCAUGAAUAAAAUAUGAGAUAAUACCUGCCCAGUG